rnacentral:lncRNA from 1 species
UUAGUUGGUAUAAAUGUAGCAGUUGACACCAAAGCAGAGGAGACCGUGAUGAAGGAAAAGAUGUGGCUUCAAAAUUGUUGACUGAGGACUGCAUGGCAUGUGUUGAUCUUCUUGAAGUCAUGCUGGUGGAACAUUUGCAGAGAAGUAGAAGAAAGAAGAGAGGAGCAGCAAGAGCAGGCAUAUUACAUCAGUGGUGGCAGAAGUAG